UAGGGGCCCAAAGGGGAUUGCCCUCGCUAGCGGCGAGUGAAGCGGGCAAGAGCUCAUAUUUGAAAUCGUGCUUUGCGGCACAGUUGUAAUUGCAGGUUGGAGUCUGUGUGGAAGGCGGUGUCCUCCCUUGGAACAGGGCGCCCAGAGGGUGAAGCCCCGUGGGAUGCCGGCGGAAGCAGUGAGGCCCUUCUGACGAUCAGUUGUUUGGGAAUUU
rnacentral:rRNA from 1 species